rnacentral:tRNA from 1 species
GAGGGGUGGCAGAGUGGUUUAAUGCACCGGUCUUGAAAACCGGCGUCCGAAAGGACUCGUGGGUUCGAAUCCCACCCCCUCC